rnacentral:lncRNA from 1 species
AUAAUAUAUAUUUUAGGAUAUACAUAUAUAGUGAAAAAGUAAAUCAAUGUAAAUUGUGGACAUAUCCUAGGAUGACCCUCAAUGAGUCACACCAUUGUAUAGUCUCCUCCCUUGCAGUAUAGGCUUCUAACCAAUAGUUUAUUGCAAAGGUGGUGGAAUGUCAUUCUUCUAUUUUCACAGACAGAAGGGAAACAAUCUCCUACUGACCCUGAAGUAAGCUGACAUGUUGCGAUGUUGUAAGUCUAUGACGAAACCUAUGUGACAAAGGACUCUCAAAAGCUAGAAGUGUCCCCAAGCCAGUGACCAGUAGAAGGAACUAAAUAAUUCUUCUCUUGAUUACUAUCUCACAAGUGCUCUGGUGACACCAACAAAGUUAAGAAAUUAUUCCAACAAGUAAGAAAGAUCUUGUCCAGCCUUUCCUUUUUAUCUAGAAUCGAAUAUCAGGCAGAUAAGAGUUAUCAGUAAAGGUCAUCCUCAAUUUCUGUACAGAAAUGAUCUGUCUCCGGUCAUGACGGUUAAUGCUGCUAAAAAAUCUCAUCACUGCUUUUGAUCACUGUAUUGUCUUCCCUGUAUUAUCAGAAUUUUGUGAAGGAGAAUUUCUUAAUCAAAGUGAAACAUCAUUCUAAACAGUGAAUGUGAUGCUGCUUGUUAACAACAGAAAAACUAUUUCAAUAUAUAGCAAACACCGUUCCCCCACUCAUCUUAUAUCACAAGUACUGCAUGGAUAACAGGUAUCUAAUAUUUGUGUCAUACCUAAAAAGUCAUUUUCAUGACCAGUGCAUUUAACACGUUCUGUGGCUAAUACUAAGGUUGAUGGGUUUUUAUCUAGUUUAACAUCAGCACGUGGCAUAUUUUAGACUUCUAAGAAUGCCACACACUAUAAAGGCAUAGAUUAUUACCAUCCAACUACAAACAAGAGAAAACAC